rnacentral:rRNA from 1 species
UAGUAACUGCGAGUGAAGAGGGAAAAGCUCAAAUUUAAAAUCUGAUAGUCUCUGGCUGUCCGAGUUGUAAUUUAGAGAAGUGUUACCCGUGCUGGACCGUGUAUAAGUCUCCUGGAAUGGAGCGUCAUAGAGGGUGAGAAUCCCGUCUUUGACACGGACUCCCAGUGCAUUGUGGUGCGCUCUCGAAGAGUCGAGUUGUUUGGGAAUGCAGCUCUAAAUGGGUGGUAAAUUCCAUCUAAAGCUAAAUAUUGGCGAGAGACCGAUAGCGAACAAGUACCGUGAGGGAAAGAUGAAAAGAACUUUGGAAAGAGAGUUAAACAGUACGUGAAAUUGCUGAAAGGGAAACGCUUGAAGUCAGUCGCGUUGGCUAGGGAUCAACCUUGCUUUAGUGAGGCGUACUUCCUAGUUGACGGGUCAGCAUCAGUUUCGAUCACUGGAAAAAGGCUUGGGGAAUGUGGCAUCUCCGGAUGUGUUAUAGCCCCUUGUCGUAUACAGUGGUUGGGACUGAGGAACUCAGCACGCCGCAAGGCCGGGUUUCGACCACGUUCGUGCUUAGGAUGCUGGCAUAAUGGCUUUAAGCGACCCGUCUUGAAACACGGACCAAGGAGUCUAACAUGCUUGCGAGUGUUUGGGUGGAAAACCCGAGCGCGUAAUGAAAGUGAAAGUUGGGAUCUCUGUCGUGGAGAGCACCGACGCCCGGACCUGAUGUUUACUGACGGAUCUGCGGUAGAGCACGUAUGUUGGGACCCGAAAGAUGGUGAACUAUGCCUGAAUAGGGUGAAGCCAGAGGAAACUCUGGUGGAGGCUCGUAGCGAUUCUGACGUGCAAAUCGAUCGUC